UACGAAAGGUGCAAGCGUUACUCGGAAUCAUUGGGCGUAAAGCGCGUGUAGGCGGUCCGGUAAGUCCGCUGUGAAAGUCGGGGGCUCAACCCUCGGAUGCCGGUGGAUACUGUCGGGCUUGAGUACGGAAGAGGCGAGUGGAAUUCCUGGUGUAGCGGUGAAAUGCGCAGAUAUCAGGAGGAACACCAAUUGCGAAGGCAGCUCGCUGGGACGUUACUGACGCUGAGACGCGAAAGCGUGGGGAGCAAACAGG
rnacentral:rRNA from 1 species